ACCGAACCCACUAACGUUGAAAAGUUAGGGGAUGAGCUGUGGAUAGGGGUGAAAGGCUAAACAAACUUGGAAAUAGCUGGUUCUCUCGAAAACUAUUUUUGUAGUGCCUCAAGUAUCACCAUCGGGGUAGAGCACUGUUAUGGCUAGGGUUCAUCGCGACUUACCAACCCAUUGCAAACUCCGAAUAUCGAUGAGUGCGAGCUUGGGAGACAGACGUCGGGUGCUAACGUCCGGCGUCAAGAGGGAAACAACCCAGUCCGCCAGCUAAGGUCCCAAAGAUUGGCUAAGUGGAAAACGAAGUGGGAAGGCUAAAACAGUCAGGAGGUUGGCUUAGAAGCAGCCACCCUUUAAAGAAAGCGUAAUAGCUCACUGAUCGAGUCGUCCUGCGCGGAAGAUGUAACGGGGCUAAGCC
rnacentral:rRNA from 1 species